rnacentral:lncRNA from 1 species
AGGUGACAAAUCUAGCGGCCAAAGCAACUGGGCAGGUGGAAAGCUCUUGAAAUAUCUGCUCUGCCCUCCCGGAAGCUGCUGGCUUCAGGCAGGACCGUUCCUCCUAUCUGCUCAGUCCAAUUCAGUCUUGUCACCUCCCUGUAGCGGUCACUGGACAGAAACUGGGAUGUGCUGUCCACCCUGGCUGGGCUCCUGGGUGGCCAGGAGGCUCUUGGAAAGCCCUCUUCAUCCCCACUCAUGGAACUCUUGCAGCUCUUUUCCGGAAUGGCUUCCCGAUGAGGUAAUGCUUCUUGCAGACGGGAGGAGGUCCUGGAGAAUGGCCGCCAGUGGCCUCCUUGCCUGGGCGACCUGCCCAAGGCACAAAAUGAGCCCUUUUUGGUGGCUGAAAGGAAGACCAGGCCCUAGACUCCAGACCUUCAUUCGUCACCCAGCCUUGAGCUGAGACUAUC